GGCAGCAUCGUGGCAGCGCGAGAGUUGAUCUAAUCUGCAGGAUAAGAACACGUGAAGGAGAUCUGAUCUCUGCGGUCUCACAGAUUAUCAGAGGAGGACUGUGUGAAAACAUCUGAUCUAGUUCACACCUGACAAAAGCCACUGCUCAGUUUAAACUUCAGUAAAUAAAAAUAUGAUGUGAGCCAAUCAGAGUGUGUCAUCGUGUCCGCGCGCACACGGGAGCCCGGAGAGGUGGGUGACAUCCAACCGAGGGGUGUGUGUGUGUGUUGACAUUACUGCUGAAUGCAACGUGUCACUACAGUGCCAGUCCACCAGUCGUCGCAGGGCGGCGGACGAGGUCGACGCCACGUCAGCGCUGUACCGGGCCCUCAGGGAGUGAGCGCGAGCACUGGCCACCAACACCUGACAGGAAGGAUGGAGAAACUCAGACAUGAGAGCACAGAGUUUCCUCUCGUGGGACAGAAAAGAUCUGAAGUGAUCUGAGAACAGACCUGAGCUUUCUGCAGCAGAGCCACGUCUCCCAGCUGACAGGCCACGUCAUAACCCUGCAGGAAGUAGUCAGCGGCUCUGCUGUACUCACUCUACACAGGGAACACUUGAUUUAUCCUCAGGGAAAUGUUUCAUUGACUUUAUUCAAAAUGUCUCAAAAACAUGCGUGAAAAUUGUGUGAAAAAUGUCCGAAAUUGUAUGAAAUAGUGUGUGUGUGUGUGUGUGUAUCAUACCGUCGAAAAGUAGAUUUUGCCCAGACACAUGUUGGCGUCCGCCAGAUUGUGUUGCAGCCCGUUGCUACCAGAGAUGUCGGCUAACUUCUCCAGACACAGGAGAGUGUCAUGCAUGUUUCCCUUACUGACACACACACACACACACACACACACACACACACACACACACACACACACACACUAAUGUAUGUUGAAACGUAUGCAGACCCAGAUGUAAAUAACCAUAAACACAAAAGACACAAAGUGUGUGUGUGUGUGUGUGUGUGUGUACUUCUCGUUAGAUUUCGCCAUAGCCUUGUAGGACUUCCCCAGUCCGUCUGCAUCCUGCAGUGUGCUGCAAAUCUGCAUGCAAGUGUUGAAGUACUGCACACAAACAGUUUAUUAUUAAAUAUAAUAUACAUGUUUCCCUCGACAAGGAUCAGCUGUUCUUAUGUUUCAACAAAUCCCAUCACAGUGAAUACGUGUUGUGUGUGUCUGAAGGUCUGAUGUCUUCUUCCGCCAUUGUUGUCCAAAAACGAUUAAACACACAUCACUGUUGCACUACAUGUUCCUUCAUUACCAUGAACACACACACACACACACACACACACACCUGUCUGGCUGUGUCAUGGUCUCCUGCACUCUGAUAGGUCAGUCCUAGUUGAUACAAGGCCUCCCAUUCGAUGUGUUUGUCUUCAGCUGGAACAGAUGAAACAAAUCUCUGCAUUUAAGUGAAGUUAUUUGUCUGUCCUGUUUGAACCACGUGUCUCUAAAAAGUCAACUUCUCAUGAGUUCCUCAAACAGUUUCCAGCUUUGUGACAUCAUCUUCCAGCUGAUCAAGAGGCUUUUUAAAGAUGUAUUUAUCUGAGGAGAAACUUCUCAUGAAGGAAACCUCAUCACAUCUGGAGACACAUGUUGAACUGACAGGGAGGUCAAACUGUAACCUGAUAGUAACCAUCAUCGCUGUCUACUUUCUACUUCCUUCUUCGUGUGAAGCCUCCAACACAAACUGUCUGUGGAUGUUCUGUAUCAUCACCUCACGUAUCCUGUUGGUGUGUAUUCAUACAGCUGUGUGUACCUACACUCAAUAGCGAUGCUGUAGCCCUUGUGGAGCAGCGUCAGGGCCUUGUUGUAGUUGGCGGCGUUCAGCGGAGCGUCGGCCAGCCGGCUGUAGACCCCCCACAGCGCCUUGCGAGCCCGGAGCCUCAGCGGCCGACCGGCUAAGUCCAGCAGGCUGCCGUCCUCCGCCUGCUGGAUGCACAGCUCCGCCUGCAGCCUCGCCUGCUCCAGAUCACCUGCAGGACAUCACGUUGUUUUACUUACAUUAUUUCAUCUCCUUGU